UACGUAGGGUACAAGCGUUGUCCGGAAUUAUUGGGCGUAAAGAGCUCGUAGGCGGUCUGUCGCGUCGGCUGUGAAAACCCGGGGCUCAACCCGGGCCUGCAGUCGAUACGGGCAGACUAGAGUGCGGUAGGGGAGACUGGAAUUCCUGGUGUAGCGGUGAAAUGCGCAGAUAUCAGGAGGAACACCGGUGGCGAAGGCGGGUCUCUGGGCCGUAACUGACGCUGAGGAGCGAAAGCGUGGGGAGCGAACAGG
rnacentral:rRNA from 1 species